rnacentral:rRNA from 1 species
AGAGUUUGAUCAUGGCUCAGGAUGAACGCUAGCGGCAGGCUUAAUACAUGCAAGUCGUGGGGCAGCACAGGUAGCAAUACUGGGUGGCGACCGGCAAACGGGUGCGGAACACGUACGCAACCUUCCUUUAAGCGGAGAAUAGCCCAGGGAAACUUGGAUUAAUACUCCAUAAUACAAUUAGGUGGCAUCACUUGAUUGUUAAAGCUCCGGCACUUAAAGAUGGGCGUGCGGCUGAUUAGGUAGUUGGCGGGGUAACGGCCCACCAAGCCGACGAUCAGUAACUGGUGUGAGAGCACGACCAGUCACACGGGCACUGAGACACGGGCCCGACUCCUACGGGAGGCAGCAGUAAGGAAUAUUGGUCAAUGGACGCAAGUCUGAACCAGCCAUGCCGCGUGGAGGAUGAAGGCCCUCUGGGUUGUAAACUUCUUUUAUUGGGGAAGAAACCGGUUCUUUCUAGAGCCGUUGACGGUACCCAUUGAAUAAGCACCGGCUAACUCCGUGCCAGCAGCCGCGGUAAUACGGAGGGUGCAAGCGUUAUCCGGAUUCACUGGGUUUAAAGGGUGCGUAGGUGGGCAGGUAAGUCAGUGGUGAAAUCUCCGGGCUUAACCCGGAAACUGCCGUUGAUACUAUCUGUCUUGAAUGUAGUGGAGGUGAGCGGAAUAUGUCAUGUAGCGGUGAAAUGCUUAGAUAUGACAUAGAACACCCAUUGCGAAGGCAGCUCGCUACACUACUAUUGACACUGAGGCACGAAAGCGUAGGGAUCAAACAGGAUUAGAUACCCUGGUAGUCCACGCCCUAAACGAUGGAUACUCGACAUCAGCGAUACACUGUUGGUGUCUGAGCGAAAGCAUUAAGUAUCCCACCUGGGAAGUACGACCGCAAGGUUGAAACUCAAAGGAUUUGACGGGGGUCCGCACAAGCGGUGGAGCAUGGUGGUUUAAUUCGAUGAUACGCGAGGAACCUUACCU